UACGGAGGGUGCAAACGUUGCUCGGAAUCAUUGGGCGUAAAGCGCACGUAGGCGGUCUGUUAAGUCGGAUGUGAAAGCCCCGGGCUCAACCCGGGAAGUGCAUACGAAACUGGCGGACUUGAAUAUGGAAGAGGGUCGCGGAAUUCCCGGUGUAGAGGUGAAAUUCGUAGAUAUUGGGAAGAACACCGGUGGCGAAGGCGGCGACCUGGUCCGUGACUGACGCUGAGGCGCGAAAGCGUGGGGAGCAAACAGG
rnacentral:rRNA from 1 species